rnacentral:rRNA from 1 species
CGCACAAGCGGUGGAUGAUGUGGAUUAAUUCGAUGCAACGCGAAAAACCUUACCUACCCUUGACAUGUCAGGAAGUCCGCUGAGAGGUGGAUGUGCUCGAAAGAGAACCUGAACACAGGUGCUGCAUGGCUGUCGUCAGCUCAUGUCGUGAGAUGUUGGGUUAAGUCCCGCAACGAGCGCAACCCUUGUCAUUAAUUGCCAUCAUUCAGUUGGGCACUUUAAUGAGACUGCCGGUGACAAACCGGAGGAAGGUGGGGAUGACGUCAAGUCCUCAUGGCCCUUAUGGGUAGGGCUUCACACGUCAUACAAUGGUCGGUACAGAGGGUCGCCAACCCGCGAGGGGGAGCCAAUCCCACAAAGCCGAUCGUAGUCCGGAUCGUAGUCUGCAACUCGACUACGUGAAGUCGGAAUCGCUAGUAAUCGUGGAUCAGCAUGUCACGGUGAAUACGUUCCCGGAUCUUGUACACACCGCCCGUCACACCAUGGGAGUGGGUUCCACCAGAAGUAGGUAGUCUAACCGCAAGGAGGGCGCUUACCACGGUGGGAUUCAUGACUGGGGUGAAGUCGUAACAAGGUAGCCGUA